GCGGGGGUUGCCAAGCCAGGUCAAAGGCGCGAGAACUCAAUCGCGUCAAAACGGUUGAGGAACGCGAAGCUCAGGACCUCGUCCCGUAGGGGUUCGUGGGUUCAAAUCCCACCCCCCGCA
rnacentral:tRNA from 1 species